rnacentral:rRNA from 1 species
GACGAACGCUGGCGGCGUGCUUAACACAUGCAAGUCGAACGAUGAAGCCUAGCUUGCUAGGUGGAUUAGUGGCGAACGGGUGAGUAAUACGUGAGUGACCUACCUUUGACUCUGGGAUAAGCCUGGGAAACUGGGUCUAAUACCGGAUACGACCAAUCUCCGCAUGGGGUGUUGGUGGAAAGCGUUAUGGAGUGGUUUUAGAUGGGCUCACGGCCUAUCAGCUUGUUGGUGAGGUAAUGGCUUACCAAGGCGACGACGGGUAGCCGGCCUGAGAGGGUGACCGGCCACACUGGGACUGAGACACGGCCCAGACUCCUACGGGAGGCAGCAGUGGGGAAUAUUGCACAAUGGGCGCAAGCCUGAUGCAGCGACGCCGCGUGAGGGAUGACCGCUUCGGGUUGUAAACCUCUGUUAGCAUCGAAGAAGCGAAA